CCUACGGGUGGCUGCAGUGGGGAAUAUUGGACAAUGGGCGAAAGCCUGAUCCAGCCAUGCCGCGUGUGUGAAGAAGGCCUUCGGGUUGUAAAGCACUUUCAGUGGGGAAGAAAGCCUUGGGGCUAAUACCCUCGAGGAAGGACAUCACCCACAGAAGAAGCACCGGCUAACUCCGUGCCAGCAGCGGCGGUAAUACGGAGGGUGCGAGCGUUAAUCGGAAUUACUGGGCGUAAAGCGCGCGUAGGCGGUCUGAUAAGCCGGUUGUGAAAGCCCCGGGCUCAACCUGGGAACGGCAUCCGGAACUGUCAGGCUAGAGUGCAGGAGAGGAAGGUAGAAUUCCCGGUGUAGCGGUGAAAUGCGUAGAGAUCGGGAGGAAUACCAGUGGCGAAGGCGGCCUUCUGGACUGACACUGACGCUGAGGUGCGAAAGCGUGGGUAGCAAACAGGAUUAGAUACCCUUGUAGUC
rnacentral:rRNA from 1 species